rnacentral:rRNA from 1 species
CCAUGCCGCGUGCAGGAAGACGGCCCUAUGGGUUGUAAACUGCUUUUAUACAGGAAGAAACACCUCUACGAGUAGAGGCUUGACGGUACUGUAAGAAUAAGGAUCGGCUAACUCCGUGCCAGCAGCCGCGGUAAUACGGAGGAUCCAAGCGUUAUCCGGAAUCAUUGGGUUUAAAGGGUCCGUAGGUGGAUAAUUAAGUCAGGGGUGAAAGUCUGCAGCUCAACUGUAGAAUUGCCCUUGAUACUGGUUGUCUUGAGUCAUUAUGAAGUAGUUAGAAUAUGUAGUGUAGCGGUGAAAUGCAUAGAUAUUACAUAGAAUACCAAUUGCGAAGGCAGAUUACUAAUAAUGUACUGACACUGAUGGACGAAAGCGUGGGGAGCGAACAGGAUUAGAUACCCUGGUAGUCCACGCCGUAAACGAUGGAUACUAGCUGUUCGGAUUUAUCUGAGUGGCUAAGCGAAAGUGAUAAGUAU